rnacentral:rRNA from 1 species
UACAGAGGUCCCAAGCGUUGUUCGGAUUCACUGGGCGUAAAGGGUGCGUAGGUGGUUAGGUAAGUCCGAUGUGAAACCUCCAGGCUCAACCUGGAAAUGGCAUUGGAUACUAUCUAGCUUGAGGAGUGGAGGGGGGACUGGAAUUCUCGGUGUAGCAGUGAAAUGCGUAGAUAUCGAGAGGAACACCAGUGGCGAAGGCGAGUCCCUGGACACUUCCUGACACUGAGGCACGAAAGCUAGGGGAGCAAACAGG